AAGUCGUAACAAGGUUUCCGUAGGUGAACCUGCGGAAGGAUCAUUAGCGAAGUUCGGAAUGCAUGUUCGAUGUUGAUGCUGCCCAGCAAUGGGAUGUGCUCGCUCGGAUGUGUGUCCCUUCUCUAUCCACUCCAUUGUGAACCAAGUGUGUGAGCCGAAGAGAAAUCGGAUGCUCGCAUGCAAACCUUUAACAUACCCCAAUUAAGUAUCAGAAUGUACCUUGCGUUAACUCGCACAAAUAUAACUUUCAACAACGGAUCUCUUGGCUCUC
rnacentral:misc_RNA from 1 species